rnacentral:rRNA from 1 species
AUUGAACGCUGGCGGAAUGCUUUACACAUGCAAGUCGAACGGCAGCACGGACUUCGGUCUGGUGGCGAGUGGCGAACGGGUGAGUAAUGUAUCGGAACGUGCCCAGUCGUGGGGGAUAACGUAGUGAAAAUUACGCUAAUACCGCAUACGAUCUAUGGAUGAAAGCGGGGGAUCGCAAGACCUCGCGCGAUUGGAGCGGCCGAUAUCAGAUUAGGUAGUUGGUGGGGUAAAGGCCCACCAAGCCAACGAUCUGUAGCUGGUCUGAGAGGACGACCAGACACACUGGAACUGAGACACGGUCCAGACUCCUACGGGGGGCAGCAGUGGGGAAUUUUGGACAAUGGGCGAAAGCCUGAUCCAGCCAUUCCGCGUGCAGGAUGAAGGCCCUCGGGUUGUAAACUGCUUUUGUACAGAACGAAAAGGUUUCUACUAAUACUAGGAGCUCAUGACGGUACUGUAAGAAUAAGCACCGGCUAACUACGUGCCAGCAGCCGCCGCGG